UAUAUCGGAACGUACCCUGGAGUGGGGGAUAACGCAGCGAAAGUUGCGCUAAUACCGCAUACGAUCUAAGGAUGAAAGCAGGGGACCUUCGGGCCUUGUGCUCCUGGAGCGGCCGAUAUCUGAUUAGCUAGUUGGUGGGGUAAAGGCCUACCAAGGCAUCGAUCAGUAGCUGGUCUGAGAGGACGAUCAGCCACACUGGGAUUGAGAACGGCCCAG
rnacentral:rRNA from 1 species